UACGGGGGGGCAAGCGUUGUUCGGAAUUACUGGGCGUAAAGGGCUCGUAGGCGGCCAACUAAGUCGGAUGUGAAAUCCCCAGGCUUAACCUGGGAACUGCAUCCGAUACUGGAUGGCUUGAAUUCGGGAGAGGGAUGCAGAAUUCCAGGUGUAGCGGUGAAAUGCGUAGAUAUCUGGAGGAAUACCGGUGGCGAAGGCGGCAUCCUGGACCGACAUUGACGCUGAGGAGCGAAAGCUAGGGGAGCAAACGGG
rnacentral:rRNA from 1 species